GAGAGUACGUAGGAAAAAGGACACAUUUAUGAGGUAGUGCCACACAUUUUAUUUCUGGAGGAAGAAAAUAGCAUCUUGUUAGAAGUUUCCCAGGAAAUGCCCAGUCGUCUUUCUGGUAAAUAUACAAUGAGAGCGAAGACAUUAAAGUGGCCUUUAUCAUCAAGAGCUAAGUCCUGAAACAAUGUUUGUGUGUUUCGUACCAAGAAUAGUUCGACCUUGAGUCAUAAGCAUCAGAAUAAGAUGCAAUAGGAAGAUGACUGGCUUCUAAUCAAUCCACACGACACAAAUUGCUGACUAACGGAAAGAAGCCCAGAACCUCAGACCCGGUUAAAAUACGGAACACAGGAGUGAGAAAUGCCACACACACUUACGUAAAAAAUGGUUUAGGCCACACAGCUUAUUCCGGAAUAAACUUUUUCACGCUAUUUAAGCUACACAAUUCUAAUCUCAUUAUCGUGUUCCUCUUUCUGCUUUACGAAAAUUCAAAAUUUACGCUUAUAAAAAUCAUUUCGAAGUUUCUUGUAGUAAAAGUGAAGGGGUAUUACAUAACAGAGUGAGAAGAUUUUAAGAAAAAGACAGAUGUGCAGUCAGCCAUUUGAAAUCGUUUCUCUUUACCCAGCAUGCCUAGCUGACACAAGAUCCAAGAUGGCGGGACCCCGGCGUUUGUCAAGCUCCAGUGAGCAGACAGCUGGGCGGAGCCAGAGAUACAGUGAAAAACUGCUCUGCUUUUCAACUGUUUUCAGCCCCCAAAAAACAACUUCGGUGUGGUCUACAAGUUGUAUUAAAUCUGAAAUACGUUUUCGAAAGUGAACACAUACUUUCAAGAAGUUCAUUAUUGAUUUUGUUUUAUUUUUGACCUGUGAAUCUUCGUUAUGAGUUUAAUUCCUGUCUUUCAUAUAAUGGUUGGUAGUACUACAGAAGGGGGGAUGUCGCCAUAUUGGAGCAGCCUCUCCCUCCCAAAGCCAACCUCCAAGACCAGUGAUGGAGCCACGAAACCAACAAGAAGGCUGAAAACAAACAAUUUAUUCCAGUCGCUUUAUUUUCAAUAUUAUUGUAUUUAAUUCCAAAUAAUAACGUUGUUUCAAUAAAUAUUCCUGAACGAAUACGUGUUUGGAUGAUCGCCAUCAUGGAAUUGUAUUUCUUCAGAAUGCGAUCAAACAGGCGACCGACAGAAAGAUGCCCAUCUCCCAAAUAAUAAAAUUUGAAAUGACCAAAAUUAAAUAAUAUUAGGGGAAAUGUUUAUAUUUCUGUAGAUAAAGUGUUCUGUGGUUAAUUAAAUUGAUGGGGUAUAGUUUACAAUGUUAGGAAAGUACGAACAAUUAAAUGCACGGAAAAUUUGAGUUUUCUUUCGCGUGGUAAAUCUGGCUGGUAAUAAUAUACCGACAAUGAAAGCAGUGCUAUUCGAUACUGAAUUAUAAUAAAGUAGUAAAUUAAUUAUGAGACGAGUAACACACGUUGAAAAUCUUGCGCAAUUUAUACGUCUAACUUGUUAGGUAACUCCAAAUAUAACAGGCAGAAAGAAAAUCUGACGAUUGCAACUUAACACCGAAUCAUUCCAUACGAGGAACUGAAUUUCUAAUUUUCAUAUUACAGUCAAUUUAGUGACUGAAAAUGUUCAGUCCUCUACAUAUUGGAAAGUUUGUACAUGUGACAAGAUGGACAGUCAGAUUUACUUCAUUAAUAUGGUAUGUUUCCUUUCAUGCAUGGUAAAUAGGUGUGUUAUGUAUCCUAGCUAAUUAAAUUAAAAUUCACUCUCCACCCUUGAAGAGGGAUGAUUAAAUUAAGUUUAGUUCAUUACGUAGACUAGUAUUGUCAUUAUUAGCAGUUUCUUUCUGGGUGUUUUCAGCACUGGAAUUGUUAAUAUGCUUAGUCAGACACGCCCUUGACUGAUUUGUAAUUAUUCCCUUUGUGUUUCGUCGACACAUUACAAAAUUAAAGACAAGCAAAAGGCGUACAAGACUUCAAGAAUAAUUACGGAAUAUAGAUUGCUAUAAUCCUUUAAAACACAGCAGGCCUACCUACCACAUACUUUAACAUUUAAUAAUUGCGUUUAUGGAUUCCGUAUAAUUUUCAGAAUAAAGAGCGAUGAUUUUUCCAAACACCA